UACGUAGGGUGCAAGCGUUGUCCGGAAUUAUUGGGCGUAAAGAGCUCGUAGGCGGUCUGUCGCGUCGGCUGUGAAAACCCGGGGCUCAACCCCGGGCCUGCAGUCGAUACGGGCAGACUAGAGUGCGGUAGGGGAGACUGGAAUUCCUGGUGUAGCGGUGAAAUGCGCAGAUAUCAGGAGGAACACCGGUGGCGAAGGCGGUUCUCUGGGCCUGUACUGACGCUGAGGAACGAAAGCGUGGGGAGCGAACAGG
rnacentral:rRNA from 1 species